GCGGGCAUAGCUCAGCAGGUUAGAGCGCCAGAUUGUGGCUCUGGAGGUCGCCGGUUCGAACCCGGUUGCUCGCCCCA
rnacentral:tRNA from 1 species